rnacentral:rRNA from 1 species
GAUGAACGCUGGCGGCGUGCCUAAUACAUGCAAGUCGAGCGAAUGGAUUAAGAGCUUGCUCUUAUGAAGUUAGCGGCGGACGGGUGAGUAACACGUGGGUAACCUGCCCAUAAGACUGGGAUAACUCCGGGAAACCGGGGCUAAUACCGGAUAACAUUUUGAACCGCAUGGUUCGAAAUUGAAGGGCGGCUUCGGCUGUCACUUAUGGAUGGACCCGCGUCGCAUUAGCUAGUUGGUGAGGUAACGGCUAACCAAGGCAACGAUGCGUAGCCGACCCGAGAGGGUGAUCGGCCACACUGGGACUGAGACACGGCCCAGACUCCUACGGGAGGCAGCAGUAGGGAAUCUUCCGCAAUGGACGAAAGUCUGACGGAGCAACGCCGCGUGAGUGAUGAAGGCUUUCGGGUCGUAAAACUCUGUUGUUAGGGAAGAACAAGUGCUAGUUGAAUAAGCUGGCACCUUGACGGUACCUAACCAGAAAGCCACGGCUAACUACGUGCCAGCCGCCGCAGUAA